rnacentral:rRNA from 1 species
UCCCCAGACUCCUACGGGAGGCAGCAGUGGGGGAUAUUGCACAAUGGGGGGAACCCUGAUGCAGCGACGCCGCGUGGGUGAAGGAGCGUUUCGGCGCGUAAAGCCCUAUCGGCAGGGAAGAAGGAGGACGGUACCUGACUAAGAAGCCCCGGCUAACUACGUGCCAGCAGCCGCGGUAAUACGUAGGGGGCAAGCGUUAUCCGGAUUCACUGGGUGUAAAGGGAGCGUAGACGGCCAUGCAAGCCUGGAGUGAAAGCCCGGGGCCCAACCCCGGGACUGCUCUGGGAACUGUGCGGCUGGAGUGCGGGAGGGGCAGGCGGAAUUCCUGGUGUAGCGGUGAAAUGCGUAGAUAUCAGGAGGAACACCGGCGGCGAAGGCGGCCUGCUGGACCGCGACUGACGUUGAGGCUCGAAAGCGUGGGGAGCGAACAGGAUUAGAUACCCCGGUA